GUGUUGGCCAAGGGUUAAGAAUAGCCAUCCAUACUUCAGAUAUUGAAAUCAUGUAGUGGAAUGCAUUUUUUGAGAACAUGGACAUGAAUGUUACCAUGCCAUAUUUUUUCAGUACUGUGUUGGGGCCACAUAAUUCAUAUUCUUUGAGAUGUGGUAUGUCCGGUUCCCAUCUGCACAAUGUUCCUUUGCCCGUUCUUUCUGCCUUUGCAAAGGAUCUAUCACGUGAUUCCCGCCUCCAGACAGAUGCGGCGCCACAGACCAAGGUGUUUGUGGGCCGGCUGUCGGCGGCCACGAAGUCGCUCGACCUGCGGAAGCUGUUCGAGCGGUACGGCGAGGUGACCGAGUGUGACGUGCUCGGCACGUAUGGCUUCGUGCACAUGAAGUCGGUGGGCCAGGCCGAGACGGCCAUCCAGAAGCUGAACGGCACAGAGCUGCACGGCUCGCGCAUCAGCGUCGAGCCGUCCACCGGGCAGAAGGGGCGCGGCGGCGGCCGCGGCCGCGGCGGCGGGCCCAUGCGCGGCAUGCGCGGUGUCGGCGGCUACCGGGGACGCGGCGGCGACCGGUUCGAGCCGUACAGCCGCUCCUACCCGCCGGCAGACGGUUAUGGCGGCGGAUACGGCGGCGGGGGUGGCUACGGCGACGGCUACGCCAACAGCUACGGCAACAGUUACGGCAACAGCUAUGGCAACGGCUACGGGGCGAGCUACGGCAACGGUUACAGCAUGGACCGGCGUCCUCCGCCGGUGCGCACAGCCGUCGGCGGCUAUUACGACGACUACGAGCGGCGCGACCCGUACGCGCGGUCGCCGGCGCCGCGGCCCGCCUACGACGCCUACGACCGGCGGCCGCCGCCGCGCGACCCGUACGCCGCAUCUGGCUACGACACGCGCGCCCAGACCGGCUAUGAGCGACGCGAUGACUACAACGACAUGUACAGCCGCCGCUCGCCGCCGCGCUACCAGGCCGAGGCGGCGCCGGCGCGUGGCUACGAUGCGUACGACCGCUACGCAGCGGCGCCGCGCGGCGCCAGCCCGCCCAGACGGAGCUUGCACUACCUGACGUGAUUGCGCCCGACGGUGGCGGCGCAGCUGGCGUGAUGACGCGACGGCCGUCACAGCGGCCCGGCCGUAGGCACGCCAGCGACCGCGCCUCUGGCCGUCUGAUGAGAGGCCAGAGGCGCGCUCCUACUCUGGGACGGGGCGCCCGCCGGGCCGGCUCGGGCCGGCUCUCGGCUGUGAUCAACUCGCGCGUCGGCCGGUACAUCCACCCGUCGUGGCACCGCCGGGAGGUGGCGAUCCCGCUCUGAAUAUUGUGUGUUUGUGCGUGCGUGCGCGCCUGUCUGUCUGUUUGUCUGAUCGGGUGGGUGCGCGCGUGUGCGUCCGAAACGGCAGAAAGUGCGUCAUUGCUUAUCAUCGACAUCGGAGCACCGGAGACUAGGGAAUGUCGCCUGGAUUUGAGCCCAGGUGUCUCCUGCUUACAAAGGUCUGGUCGCGGUCGUCUGUUCCGGGUGACUCUUCAUCAUCAGCGCGCGGCGACAUGGGCGCAGGCUCUGUCGCCGAUGAACGCUGCACGUCAGAGUGGGUUUCGUGGCCGAUUCAUUCCAUGCCGCAUACGAAUUGCAUUACCAUCACAUGUUGGAUUGCGUGGGCUUUGGCUCGUUUGACGUGCUCUGAGUAGUUGGAAUAAAGCCGUUCAUUGCAGUAGUUGGGAUUUCCUUUCAAGAGUUUGACUGGUACCGUUCCGCGAUUGGGGGCUGGACCAGUGUGGCGCGAGCCUCGUGCAAUGUCGUGGGGAAAGGAACAACUCAGUAUUUAUAGCUCUGGCGGACUUGUGGUUUUUGCGAUUGAAGCGAAGAUCAUGUACGUUGUAGGAUUUUCGGAGCCGGGUACCGGCAGUGCGUCCCUGCCCAUCACGACGUGAGGGUCCAGGGAUACGGAAAGUGCCGACCGAUGCGACGGGCGCGCGCCGCGCUCAGCGUACGCAGUCAUUACUGGAGGUGCGAUGCCCCGAGUGUUGCGUACGGGUGAUGUCGCGUCCGGAUGCGGGCGCCGCCCAGCCUGGUCCCGCGUAGUCAGGCCGCAUCCACGGUCUGGGGCCCGACCUGUGACGGCGCGACGCACACGAACGGCGCUGUAGCUGUGUGGAAGCGCACGAAGCCGCUGACAAGGUGAUUUCGGGUCAAGUGCAAUGGUUUGAUAUAUUUACAGGCCAUACUUGUGUUUGGCGUGGCAUGCGAAAUGCAUCAUUUGCAUGUCCAAUACAGUACCUGCAGAAUCA
rnacentral:misc_RNA from 1 species